rnacentral:rRNA from 1 species
CCUACGGGAGGCAGCAGUGGGGAAUCUUAGACAAUGGGCGCAAGCCUGAUCUAGCCAUGCCGCGUGAGUGACGAAGGCCUUAGGGUCGUAAAGCUCUUUCGCCAGGGAUGAUAAUGACAGUACCUGGUAAAGAAACCCCGGCUAACUCCGUGCCAGCAGCCGCGGUAAUACGGAGGGGGUUAGCGUUGUUCGGAAUUACUGGGCGUAAAGCGCGCGUAGGCGGACUAUUAAGUUAGGGGUGAAAUCCCGGGGCUCAACCCCGGAACUGCCUCUAAUACUGGUAGUCUUGAGUUCGAGAGAGGUGAGUGGAAUUCCGAGUGUAGAGGUGAAAUUCGUAGAUAUUCGGAGGAACACCAGUGGCGAAGGCGGCUCACUGGCUCGAUACUGACGCUGAGGUGCGAAAGUGUGGGGAGCAAACAGGAUUAGAUACCCUGGUAGUCCACACCGUAAACGAUGAAUGCCAGACGUCGGCAAGCAUGCUUGUCGGUGUCACACCUAACGGAUUAAGCAUUCCGCCUGGGGAGUACGGUCGCAAGAUUAAAACUCAAAKGAAUUGACGG